CUCAGGAUGAACGCUAGCGGCAGGCUUAACACAUGCAAGUCGAGGGGUAUUGGUUUUCGGACCAAGAGACCGGCGCACGGGUGCGUAACGCGUAUGCAAUCUACCUUUUGCAGAGGGAUAGCCCAGAGAAUUUGGAUUAAUACCUCAUAGUAUAGUACUUUGGCAUCAAGGAACUAUUAAAGUCACAACGGCAAAAGAUGAGCAUGCGUCCCAUUAGCUAGUUGGUAAGGUAACGGCUUACCAAGGCUACGAUGGGUAGGGGUUCUGAGAGGGAGAUCCCCCACACUGGUACUGAGACACGGACCAGACUCCUACGGGAGGCAGCAGUGAGGAAUAUUGGACAAUGGGCGCAAGCCUGAUCCAGCCAUGCCGCGUGCAGGAAGAAGCAUCUAUGGUGUGUAAACUGCUUUUGUACGGGAAGAAACACUCCUACGUGUAGGAGCUUGACGGUACCGUAAGAAUAAGGAUCGGCUAACUCCGUG
rnacentral:rRNA from 1 species